UUCCAUGAGAAACGGCUACCACAUCUAAGGAAGGCAGCAGGCGCGUAAAUUACCCAAUCCUGACUCAGGGAGGUAGUGACAAGAAAUAGCAAACCGGGAACCUCAUGGUUUCACGGUAUUGCAAUGAGAACAAUUUAAAACCCUUAGCGAGAAUCAAGUGGAGGACAAGUCUGGUGCCAGCACCCGCGGUAAUUCCAGCUCCACUAGCGUAUAUUAAAGUUGUUGCAGUUAAAAAGCUCGUAGUUGAACCUCUGUCUGGGGCUAGUUUUGGCUUUGGUCAGGCUAGUUCUAGGCAUCCGCCUACAAGACUUAGAGGGCAUUCAGUUGUUCACUAGGAGGAGUAGGCAUUUUACUUUGAAAAAAUUAGAGUGUUUAAGGCAGGCAAUCGCCCGCAUAUAUUAGCAUGGAAUAAUAGAAUAGGACACUUUUCCAUUUCGUUGGUUAUUGGAAUCGUGUAAUGAUUAAUAGGGACAGUUGUGGGCAUUUGUAUUUAAUUGUCAGAGGUGAAAUUCUUGGAUUUAUUAAAGACAAACUAACGCGAAAGCGUUUGCCAAGGAUGUUUUCAUUAAUCAAGAACGAAAGUUAGGGGAUCAAAGACGAUCAGAUACCGUCCUAGUCUUAACUAUAAACUAUUCCGACUCAAUGUUUGACUGGCUUAUAUAACCAGUUGAGCGUUGUAUGAGAAAUCAAAGUCUUUAGGUUCUGGGGGGAGUAUGGUUGCAAAGCUGAAACUUAAAGGAAUUGACGGAAGAGCACAACCAGGAGUGGAUUCUGCGGCUUAAUUUGACUCAACACGGGGAAACUUACCAGGUUAAAACAAUAGUGGGAUUGACAGUUUGAGAGCGCUUUCUUGAUUGGUUGGGUGGUGGUGCAUGGCCGUUCUUAGUUGGUGGAGUGAUUUGUCUGCUUAAUUGCGUUAACGAACGAGACCUUAACCUGCUUACUAGACUGGCGAUCAUCAAUCGUUAGCUCUUCUUAGAGGGACUUUGGUUGUUUUAACUCCAAGGAAGUUUGAGGCAAUAACAGGUCUGUGAUGCCCUUAGAUAUCCUGGGCCGCACGCGUCAUACAAUGACUAGUUCAGAAAGUUUUCUCCUGACCCGAAAGGGGAUGGGUAAUCUUGAUAAUACUAGUCGUGUUAGGGAUCGAUCUUUGCAAUUAUAGAUCUUGAACGAGGAAUUCCUAGUAAGUGCGGUUCAUCAGACCGUACUGAUUACGUCCCUGCUCUUUGUACACACCGCCCGUCGCUUCUACCGAGUGGGUGGUCCGGUGAGAUAAUUGAACUUCGCAGGUAACUGAGAGGAGAGAUUAUCAAACCUAUCCACCUCGAGGAAGAAGAAGUCGUAACAAGGUU
rnacentral:rRNA from 1 species